CUGUAAUUGUAAGUAUGAGAAGUAAGCUUUGGGAGGGAGGUUAUACUGUUUGGUUAGAGAACUAAAGUCCAGUAGGCGACCAUCCCUCAUUAAGUGUGAUAGGCGUGUGGCACCAUGUUUACACCAUAGGCCAUGGUCAAACCCCGGAAUGAGGAGUUGGAACACUGGAAUUUGUAGUGCUGGGGAUAUAUAUGAGGCGGGAUAGUGUGUCUUGGUG